UACGAGGGGGGCAAGCGUUGUUCGGAAUUAUUGGGCGUAAAGGGUGCGUAGGCGGUUUGACAAGUCUUAUGUGAAAUCUCUGGGCUCAACCCAGAGUCUGCAUGGGAAACUGUCGAGCUUGAGUAUGGGAGAGGUGAGUGGAAUUUCCGGUGUAGCGGUGAAAUGCGUAGAUAUCGGAAGGAACACCUGUGGCGAAAGCGGCUCACUGGACCAUUACUGACGCUGAUGCACGAAAGCUAGGGGAGCAAACAGG
rnacentral:rRNA from 1 species